GCGUUAAUCGGAAUUACUGGGCGUAAAGGGUGCGUAGGUGGUGAAGUAAGUUAGGUGUGAAAUCCCUGGGCUCAACCUGGGAAUGGCGCUUAAUACUGUUUCACUAGAGUACUGUAGAGGGAAGUGGAAUUUCCGGUGUAGCGGUGGAAUGCGUAGAUAUCGGAAGGAACACCAGUGGCGAAGGCGACUUCCUGGACAGAUACUGACACUGAGGCACGAAAGCAUG
rnacentral:rRNA from 1 species